UACGUAGGGUGCAAGCGUUGUCCGGAAUUAUUGGGCGUAAAGAGCUCGUAGGCGGUUUGUCGCGUCUGCUGUGAAAACUGGGGGCUCAACCCCCAGCCUGCAGUGGGUACGGGCAGACUAGAGUGCGGUAGGGGAGAUUGGAAUUCCUGGUUUAGCGGUGGAAUGCGCAGAUAUCAGGAGGAACACCGAUGGCGAAGGCAGAUCUCUGGGCCGUAACUGACGCUGAGGAGCGAAAGCAUGGGGAGCAAACAGG
rnacentral:rRNA from 1 species